rnacentral:rRNA from 1 species
GACGAACGCUGGCGGCGUGCUUAACACAUGCAAGUCGAACGGAAAGGCCCUGCUUUUGUGGGGUGCUCGAGUGGCGAACGGGUGAGUAACACGUGAGUAACCUGCCCUUGACUUUGGGAUAACUUCAGGAAACUGGUGCUAAUACCGGAUAGGAGCUCCUGCUGCAUGGUGGGGGUUGGAAAGUUUCGGCGGUUGGGGAUGGACUCGCGGCUUAUCAGCUUGUUGGUGGGGUAGUGGCUUACCAAGGCUUUGACGGGUAGCCGGCCUGAGAGGGUGACCGGCCACAUUGGGACUGAGAUACGGCCCAGACUCCUACGGGAGGCAGCAGUGGCGAAUAUUGCACAAUGGGCGGAAGCCUGAUGCAGCAACGCCGCGUGCGGGAUGACGGCCUUCGGGUUGUAAACCGCUUUCGCCUGUGACGAAGCGUGAGUGACGGUAAUGGGUAAAGAAGCACCGGCUAACUACGUG